rnacentral:misc_RNA from 1 species
UUGGUGGCUGUGGCCAGCAAUGUCAAACUUCCCAGGCAUCCAUCUUUCUGGAACUCUCAUGGCAUAUACCAGUGCUCCAAUGCCGUAAAAUAUGCCCAUCAAAAGUUCAUAUCCAGUCGUAUGAAGUGCCUCAGGUUGGUGCCAAAACAAAACCAGCUUGUGCAGAAUAGGUACCGCACCUGACAGGCCCAUUCCAAAGAAUAGAGAUGCUCGAAUAACUCGAUAUUCGGGAGUCUGGAACACAGGAAGUAGGGAACCCAAGAUUGUGCCAAUUCCCAGGAGGGUAAUAAAUCCCAGGUACAGAUUGCAAAAGAAGGGGUAACACAUGAAGGAAUAAUAGACCGGAGGGUAAAAUGAAGUUGAUAUCAGGGCAGCGAUACCAGCAUAGUCGAGCCUCAACAUGAUGUAUGAUAAACGCUCUGAAUGGCAAGAAAGUAAAUGACAUGUGCUGCUUGCUAACAAACAAAACAUUGCCCCACCAAGGAAGGCAUAGAAUGGCCACCGCGUUAUAGGCUUCACCAUUAGUGGUGCUAUCACGUUAG